AGAAAAACAAAGAGGAAAAAGGAAAAAUCCCCAUUUCAUUCCUUCCUCCCCUCCCCCCGCAUGGCCGCCUCUGCCAAUCACCUCGCCGCCGGCCUCCGGCCUCUCCCCCACAGCCGGCAACCUCGUCUCCCGCCUCCGUUCUCUCCCCUCCCCUCCCCUCGUCACAAGACGAGAGAAGAGAAGAGGAGAGGGAAGUCGAGCGACCAGGUCGGUCAGUCGGCGGCCAGAUCCGCCCAUGACCGGCCGGCGACCACAGCACGCCACGCCGUCGUCAGGGGAUUCUUCCACCCCGACGGACGUGCUCGCUCUCUCGCGCCCCACGCCACGCCACGCCACGCCACGGAUCGAGCUUCCCCUGCUCCCACCCACGCCAUGGAUCCAGCUCGCGCUCCUCCUCAAGGGCCCCCCAGAUCGACAGCGCCAAGUGCUUCUGCUCGGCCACGUUACCUGACCACACGACGCCAUGGCCAUGGAUGGACCUUCCCCUGCUGCCACGCACUCGAAGGUUGCUGCUGCUCUUUCUUUGUGAGACGACAUCCAACAUCAAUCACCAGCGACAGACUCCCUGCUGUGGCCGGCCGACCAACUAUACCUGCUACUCACUCGGACGCCUCCGUUCUUUGGUUCCAGGAGAGAUGGCCGCCGCUAUACAUUGCCGGAGGAGCACCUUCCUGCAGAGCUCAUGGGACGCACCCCUUCAAGGUCCAUCUCAAACCCCCUUCCCCUUUCCCUGUCUAAUGAAAGAUGCCCGGUACUAUGCAAUUGGGCUUCCUGGCUUCAGAAGUCCCUCGUUUAGUGCUACCAACUAGUAAUGAAUGAAUGAUACAUUCAUCAUGGAUAGAGAUAGAUUGAUUCCAGCGAUCCCACAUCCAUCGCAAUCACAUAUACUAUCUCUGUCCUUGCAUGUGCUCAGUUGCUCACCAUGCAACAUGGAAUUCAUCGAUGGAUGCAAGGAUUGUUUCAUUUCUCAACUAAAAACGGUUUUACGGUUUAAAUAAAUCGCAAACGAUCCCAUUAAUCUAUCUGACUGAACCUGAUUCAUGCUUGUUAAUCAUUGAUUUUAUUUUGAUUAUAUCGGCCGAUUCACAUUCCCUCUAAUUAAUGUCCUUUACUCUGCUUGUCCUGCUCAACUGCUCAUUGUCUUCUGAUUUAUCCCUGGAUGGAAGGAUUGUUUCAUUUGUCAACAGAUUCAAGCAUGAAUGGGGCUUGCUGCUGACCACAAGGGUCAACUUGGAGCUCCUCUCUGCCCCUGCAGGCGAUUAAUCACCUUCCCGUGGACUUGGUGCCUGCUUUGGAAUUUCCCAUGGGAGAGAGGCAAUUCUGACCAUACAUCUGCAGCAGCAGCAGCCGCGUCAAGAAGAGCAGCGGCUACCUUGCCACACACAAACCCAGCCAUAAGCUUCUCUAUGUCUCUCCCUUGUAUAGAUCUGUAGGUUCUCGUUUCUUCCCAGGGAGUAGCGUGACAGGUAGAGGGCUUUGUUUCAGGGGCACGAAUCAGCUUCUAGUGCUGCUUCUGAGUCCUGUUUGGAUGCAAAAUCAAAUCUGUGCAUUCAACUUUAGUUUGUGUCUUCAAUUGGGUUCGGCGUGUACAAGCAGCAGCAUAUAUAGUUGCAAGUGCAACACAUCUUGCUACAGAUAGUUUGCUUUUGGUUUGUAGUAAUAAAAAUCUAAUCCAUUAAUACAAAAGCAUUUCACUCUUUGUAUAGUAGCAUUUCACGCAAUCGAGUAUUGUUACCCUGCUGUCUGUUACCAUGACAGUGCUAUCUACAUGAUGAACUAGGAUUUUUCUUUCCAUGAAAGUCGUGGCCUUGGUCUGUAUGAUUAAGGGCCAAAACUGUAGGGAUUUAAUUGCUAGGACUUGAUACUGUAAGUCAGACCUGGUUGGUCAAUCAAGCGAUGACUUUGCAUAGUUAGAAUUCAGACUGCAUUCAACAAAUCAAAAGUUUUUCAUUUUCUGGAUAAUGGAUAAUAGAACAAUAAUGAUCUCUAACUCUGACAUUCAUUCAUUUAUCUAGUAAUUAAGCACAUAAAUGUUCAUAUCAAAUGGGUUUAUUUUGUUGCCAUUCUUCUUCUCUAUAUUAGCUGCUGUUGAGAUUGAGGCCUUGCAAUGGUAGGAUACAUGGUUGCCUCAUGGUUUAGGGCUGGACCAAUUGAUAUCUCCUCCUGUUUGCUGCUUUGACCUUUUAUUAAGUUGUGCGUGGAGAGAGCUGCUGUUAGGAUACAUUGCUGUGCUCCUGUAUGCUCUUGUUGCACCCAGCUGACCCUGUGCUUGUUGGUAACAAAAAAAACUGUAUGUUUGCUGCAGUGCUGAGCAACCCUGCCAACUUGGUGGCCAAGUUGCAGGCCAAGCCGAGGGUGGCGAAGAAGGUCAAAGGGAAGCGGUGGCGCCUUUUGUGACGAGCAAACGAAAACUCUCUGGUUCUUUAAGCGCAUCGGGAGGCGAGAAGGUGUUGGUUUUAGGGUUUUUAUCAUUUAUGCCACUAGUUGUGUCUCACUACUCAGUUUUGCCAUUAGAAAUUAUAACUACUUAAAAAUGCCAUCGAUACGUGAGAUGCUUGCUCAAAAAUGCCAUUAGAUAUGUAAAAAAUGCCAUCGCUCCGUUAGAUGUUUGCUCAAAAAUGCCAUUAGACAUUGUUAUUUUCACUUCAAACCCGUUGACCAUGUUAUAUGACAAAAAUAAGCCUAGACCCACAUGUCAGUUAUCUCUAUCUCAAAAUGAUAAGUGUGGCCCCACUUGUCAGGAGUAACCAAGCGAAUAAUUUUACAGGAUAAUAAGAACGUUGUUGGGAUCAAGUAGGCCCCACACUUUAUAGUAGUGAGAUAGAGGAGAGCUGGCAUGUUGGUCCAUAGGUAUUUAUGUCAUUAUAACAUGGCAAAAGAGAUUUGAGAUCACAAUAAUGGUGUCUAGUGGCAUUUUUGAGCAUGUGUCUAACGAAGCAAUGGCAUUUUUGAGCGGUUGAAAUUCCUAGUGACAAAACUGAGUAGUGGGACACAACCGGUGGCAUAAAUGAUAAAAACCCUUGGUUUUAUAUGCCGAGAUGAUGUUACCUGUGUUGCCCUGUUACUUGUGUUGGUUCUAUGUGUGGAGUGGAGAUGAUGUUAGACAGUAGAAGCAGAGAGUGGAGGCCGGAAUGAGACGGUGCCUGCUACUUGAGAAUGUUGUAACUGUAUUAUCUUUCAGAGUUUCCUGGAGUUGAUGUGAUUUUGUGUUGUGCUCCAGGCGUGGGUGGCCGUGUUAACUUGUUCCUUGUUUGUAACAAAGAUUUAUCCUCAAAUGUACAGUAGGUAGUAACAAAGAUUCAGAGGCCAGCUGUUAUUAACAUUUAAAUGUAUUUGUGUUGGGAAA